rnacentral:rRNA from 1 species
AGGGAAUCUUCGGCAAUGGACGAAAGUCUGACCGAGCAACGCCGCGUGAGUGAAGAAGGUUUUCGGAUCGUAAAACUCUGUUGUUAGAGAAGAACAAGGAUGAGAAGAGAAUGUUCAUCCCUUGACGGUAUCUAACCAGAAAGCCACGGCUAACUACGUGCCAGCAGCCGCGGUAAUACGUAGGUGGCAAGCGUUGUCCGGAAUUAUUGGGCGUAAAGCGAGCGCAGGCGGUUUCUUAAGUCUGAUGUGAAAGCCCCCGGCUCAACCGGGGAGGGUCAUUGGAAACUGGGAAACUUGAGUGCAGAGGAGGAGAGUGGAAUUCCAUGUGUAGCGGUGAAAUGCGUAGAUAUAUGGAGGAACACCAGUGGCGAAGGCGGCUCUCUGGUCUGUAACUGACGCUGAGGCUCGAAAGCGUGGGGAGCAAAC